rnacentral:rRNA from 1 species
UGUAAGCGUAUACCAAAGUUGUUGCAGUUAAAACGCUCGUAGUCGGAAUUUGGCAGUUCCGGAUGUGUGCACGUCGUGUGCGCACUUCGCGGGGAUUGCUUUUGUGGUCUUGCGUAGGAUGAGGCACUUUUAUUAGUGAACGUCCUCACGCAACCACUUUUUACUGUGAGAAAAUCAGAGUGCUCAAGGCAGGCAUUUGCCGUGAAUGUAUUAGCAUGGAAUAAUAGAAUAGGACUUGGUUCUAUUUUGUUGGUUUGUUGGGACUGAGUAAUGAUUAAGAGGGACAGUUGGGGGCAUUUGUAUUUCGGUGCUAGAGGUGAAGUUCUUAGAUUACCGAAAGACAAACUGCUGCGAAAGCGUCUGCCAAGGAUGUUUUCAUUGA